GCGCGGGGACGACCCCGCGCCUUUUUGCUUUUCCGGGGACGACCCCG
rnacentral:ncRNA from 1 species